UCUCAUAAACUACCAUUCGAGCACUGAAACUUUGAUUCUUAUAACCGCCGUUGCGGUCCAGUGCUCAUCCUCUUCCUCCACGGUCGACGGUCACUACUUCUGACGAAGCAACUACCGGUCACUGUUGCUCACGGCGCGGUUGAUUUCCCCUACCAUAAUCGCUAACUACCUUGCCCCAUUCUCUUAGCGCCACGAUUGAAGCUCGCCCCGGCCAGGCCAUUGCCCGGAAAUCGUUGCAAAGGUAAGGGGUUUUGAUUUUAAGUCAACUAUCUCGAUCUCUCUUUCCCUCACUAUCUCUCGCCCUCGCCCAGCUUUGUGCCACUGCCACCGUGCGACCGUGCCCUCGCCGACAUCACCGUGCUUAUGCCUCCGUCAUCGCCGUCGCUACUGCUGUCGUCUCCUUCGUCCUUUUGAGGUUAGUUUGCUGCUUCUUUUAUCAUUGGUAUACACCUAGAAACUGUUUGAUGAUUUGUUUGAAAGAACAAUUAAUUGUUUCAAUAGUUGUAAUCUGCCAAGUUUUUCGAAGCAAGAUUGAAUAAGACUUUUAGAUGUCAAGUUUAUAGAAAUAGUGUGUAUUGGCUAAUCAGAAACCAAAUAUGAAGCCAAUAAAAGAUAGUAGAAGAUGAUGGAUUUCUGUGUAUGGUUUUUCUAAAUGUUCUUGAUUACAAUAGCAUUAUGUUGGGGUUUGGAUUAUAUAUGGCUAAUGUUUAGUGGAUUUUCCUUGACAUGUUAUGCCACUAGAAAAAGCUUUCUUAAAUAUGCUUUAGUGAAGCAUGAUAUUGGUGUGGGAUUAGAGCAGAAACAUAGUUAUUGGUUGUCAUAUUUGCCACCAUCUUUACAGAUAUAUGUGUGUGUAAUAUAUUUUGUGACUAUGUUGUUGGGGUUAGUUCGAUCAAUAUAUUUAUUUUUAUUUGUUGUUUUCGGUUUUGAAUGGAAGGAUCCAUAUGAAUGGGAAAAUAAUUUGAGGUUAAGAUUUAAGACUUUAAGUUGUAUAUGACAUCUCAUGCCAAUAUCCUAAGUUAAUUUAUAGAUACUUAGGUCUUAGAGUAUUUAUAUUUUAUUAUAUACAAGGUAAUUGUGUAGUUGAAUUAAUUUAUGACAUAGUAUAUGAUGAUGAUGCCAUAGUAUAUGAUGAUGAUGCUUCACUUAGUUGCAAGAAUAUGAAUUUAUCUAUAAUACUCUGAGAUUAAUGUCACUAUAUCAUGUUACUGAUAAACAAGAAUUCUUUCUAUUAUAUGCAUUUGUAUUUUGUUUCUUGUUUCUGAAGCACACCCUACCCUUCCUGGAAGAAAGCUAUAAUUACGAUCAUUUGGUUGGGGUAAAAUUUUACAAUGCUUAUGUGGGAAGGAACUUGGAUGCAUGUAUGUGGGAGUGGGGUUUGUCAUAUUCACCCAUAGAAUUAAGUGUUACUAAUUGUUCGUGAAAUAAGGAAUUGAGAAAAAACGGCAUGGCAAUUAUAUCUUAGAGAUAGCCUUCCUGUAGCUUGUAAAAUCCUCUUAACUAUUCUUGGUACUUUUGAGUUAUAUUAGAUCAUUCUCAGACUUGUUUGGGAGUACAAACAUGAAUAACUAGUCAAGGUACUAUACAUUUAUUUAUUUUUCUCAUGUAUCCAGAGGCAGUUGAGCCUUUUACACGUCAGCUUUUUCCUGGCAAGGGAGAGAUAAGGCAUCACCACUGAUUUCUUAUUCUAUAACCUCAUAAUAAAUUAGUAAUAAUUUUCUUGAGUUGGUACGAUGGAAGUCUAAAUGAAAAUCAUAGUCAGAAAUAGAAUUUUUGAAUCAGACGAUUAGUCCAUGUAAACAAGGUCAUAAAAAACUCAAGCCACUCUGUCAUGUCUUUUAAGUUUACUUUAGCAUACCUGAACUUCACCUCAUAAUUUUGGGCGAUUCUCGUUCUGUUCAAGAAACCUUAAUUGUUAAUUGAUGUUGAUGAGUAUGGAACACAUGUAUCGUUGUAAUGUAAUUAUUGUGUAUUGACGGAAUGACAACAUGUGGCUAAUUUGUUUAUAGAUUAUUUUGAUUGUGAUUGUGUGAAGGAUAUGUGGUGAAGGCAAAGAAGACAAUAUUGGACAUAUUGGUUGAUGCAUCACAUUUUGAAGGAACGAAGGAACAACAAGUGUUAACUCAUUUGAAUGUUAGGCUGAACUUAUUUAUUAGUGGAUCCACAAAUGUUUACUCAUUUUAGUUAUAGUUAUUGUUAGAAUUUGGCUUAAUUAUUUUGAAAUGGAAUAUGGUAGAAUUGAUUUUGUCGAAUCUUUAAGUUGUAAUGAAUAUUGAAAUUUUAUAAUGACUAUGUUAUAAAUGAAAAUGAUUUUCUC
rnacentral:lncRNA from 1 species